GCCAUGCCGCGUGUGUGAAGAAGGCCUUCGGGUUGUAAAGCACUUUCGGACGGAACGAAAUCGCGCGGACGAAUAUUCCGCGUGGAUGACGGUACCGUAAGAAGAAGCACCGGCUAACUACGUGCCAGCAGCCGCGGUAAUACGUAGGGUGCGAGCGUUAAUCGGAAUUACUGGGCGUAAAGGGUGCGCAGGCGGCCCCGCAAGUCAGACGUGAAAUCCCCGAGCUCAACUUGGGAAUGGCGUUUGAAACUACGGGGCUGGAGUGUGGCAGAGGGAGGUGGAAUUCCACGUGUAGCGGUGAAAUGCGUAGAGAUGUGGAGGAACACCAAUGGCGAAGGCAGCCUCCUGGGCCAACACUGACGCUCAUGCACGAAAGCGUGGGGAGCAAACAGGAUUAGAUACCCUGGUAGUCCACGCCCUAAACGAUGAUGACUAGUUGUUGGAGGAGUUAAAUCCUUUAGUAACGCAGCUAACGCGCGAAGUCAUCCGCCUGGGGAGUACGGUCGCAAGAUUA
rnacentral:rRNA from 1 species